rnacentral:rRNA from 1 species
ACGAACGCUGGCGGCAUGCCUAACGCAUGCAAGUCGAACGAGACCUUCGGGUCUAGUGGCGCACGGGUGCGUAACGCGUGGGAACCUGCCCUUAGGUUCGGAAUAACUCCCCGAAAGGGGUGCUAAUACCGGAUAAUGUCUUCGGACCAAAGAUUUAUCGCCUUUGGAUGGGCCCGCGUUGGAUUAGCUAGUUGGUAGGGUAAAAGCCUACCAAGGCGACGAUCCAUAGCUGGUCUGAGAGGAUGAUCAGCCACACUGGGACUGAGACACGGCCCAGACUCCUACGGGAGGCAGCAGUGGGGAAUAUUGGACAAUGGGCGAAAGCCUGAUCCAGCAAUGCCGCGUGAGUGAUGAAGGCCUUAGGGUUGUAAAGCUCUUUUACCCGGGAUGAUAAUGACAGUACCGGGAGAAUAAGCUCCGGCUAACUCCGUG